rnacentral:rRNA from 1 species
UACGUAUGGGGCAAGCGUUAUCCGGAUUUACUGGGUGUAAAGGGAGCGCAGGCGGCCUGGCAAGCCUGAUGUGAAAUACCGGGGCCCAACCCCGGGGCUGCAUUGGGAACUGCCAGGCUGGAAUGCCGGAGAGGCAGGCGGAAUUCCUAGUGUAGCGGUGAAAUGCGUAGAUAUUAGGAGGAACACCAGUGGCGAAGGCGGCCUGCUGGACGGUGACUGACGCUGAGGCUCGAAAGCGUGGGGAGCAAACAGG